rnacentral:rRNA from 1 species
UACGUAGGAGGCAAGCGUUGUCCGGAAUUACUGGGCGUAAAGCGCGUGUAGGCGGUCUGAAUAGUCUGCUGUGAAAGCGCCUGGCUUAACCGGGCGAGGUCGGCGGAAACUCUCAGACUGGAGGCCGGUAGAGGGGGGUGGAAUUCCCGGUGUAGUGGUGAAAUGCGUAGAGAUCGGGAGGAACACCUGUGGCGAAGGCGGCCCCCUGGGCCGCGCCUGACGCUGAGACGCGAAGGCUAGGGGAGCGAAACGGG